CCAAUAGCGUAUAUUAAAGUUGUUGCAGUUAAAAAGCUCGUAGUUGAAUUUCGGGAUCAAUAUUUCGGUCAUGCCGUUGGUAUGCACUGUUAUAAUUGAUUUCUCACCUUCUAAAGAACCGUAAUGUAAUUAAUUUGGUGUUACGGGGAAUUAGGACUGUUACCUUGAAAAAAUUAGAGUGUUUAAAGCAGGCUCACGCUUGAAUACAUUAGCAUGGAAUAAUGAAAUAGGACAUCCGAUUCUAUUUUGUUGGUUUCUAGGAUCGAUGUAAUGAUUAAUAGGGAUAGUUGGGGGCAUUAGUAUUCAAUUGUCAGAGGUGAAAUUCUUGGAUUUAUUGAAGACUAACUACUGCGAAAGCAUUUGCCAAGGAUGUUUUCAUUAAUCAAGAACGAAAGUUAGGGGAUCGAAGACGAUCAGAUACCGUCGUAGUCUUAACCAUAAACUAUGCCGACUAGGGAUCGGAUGAUGUUAAUUUUUUAAUGACUCAUUCGGCGCCUUACG
rnacentral:rRNA from 1 species